rnacentral:rRNA from 1 species
AUUGAACGCUGGCGGCAGGCCUAACACAUGCAAGUCGAGCGGAUGAAGGGAGCUUGCUCCUGGAUUCAGCGGCGGACGGGUGAGUAAUGCCUAGGAAUCUGCCUGGUAGUGGGGGAUAACGUCCGGAAACGGGCGCUAAUACCGCAUACGUCCUGAGGGAGAAAGUGGGGGAUCUUCGGACCUCACGCUCCAGAUGAGCCUAGGUCGGAUUAGCUAGUUGGUGGGGUAAAGGCCUACCAAGGCGACGAUCCGUAACUGGUCUGAGGGGAUGAUCAGUCACGCUGGAACUGAGACACGGUCCAGACUCCUACGGGAGGCAGCAGUGGGGAAUAUUGGACAAUGGGCGAAAGCCUGAUCCAGCCAUGCCGCGUGUGUGAAGAAGGUCUUCGGAUUGUAAAGCACUUUAAGUUGGGAGGAAGGGCAGUAAGUUAAUACCUUGCUGUUUUGACGUUACCAACAGAAUAAGCACCGGCUAACUUCGUG